UGAAUCUAUGCACAUCUCAGGUGCUAAAGAUAGAAGUCCUAUAUAUGCAAAUAUGUCNUAUUUUGGGGUAAUUGAACAUAUAUGGGAGUUGGAUUACANCANAUUUCGGGUACCCAUAUUUGGUUGCAAGUGGGUUGAUAACAAUAAUGGAGUUCGACAAGAUGAAACAGGAUUUAUGCAAGUGAAUUUUAAUAAAGUGGGGUACAAAGAUGAGCCAUUUAUUUUAGCAUCACAAGCUCAACAAAUUUUUUAAGUCACUGAUCCGGUUGAUGUCAAUCGGUCAAUUGUGUUGUUGACCAAUAAAAUAAACGAUCCUUCCAAUGAUGAUAUAGAAGAUGAAUAUACAAAUAUUGAAGAUGAUCCUUUGUAUCAAAUAUCAUAUGAUGAUGAUCCAAUAACAGAUGAUAUCUUGUAUAGGAGAGAUGAUCAUGANGAAGGAAUUUGGAUAAAUCCAUCAUUUUAUGUCCAUAAGAAACCUAAGUCUUUAAACUUCAUNUCAAAGAAGAAAAGGUAAAUGACAACUCCUACUGAAGAUGAUAUUCCUUCUCCCAACGAAGCUAAAGGGAAGAAAGGUAUAGUGAUGAUGAAGAAGAUCAUUCAAGCUAGAAGUGAGGG